GGUCAAACCAAACCAGCUCCUAACUGUAAAACUGUCUCCUGGAGGACUUUGCUUCCCAAUGUGUCCAGCUUUUAAAAGCAGCACUGACCAUUGGUUUCAAACCCCUUCACAGACCUACCCUGGCGAGGGGAGCACAGCUUUCCUUUCCUGGGAGCCCGGCAGCUCUGCUGCAUUCCACAAGCCAGGCACUGCAACAAGGCAAGGUCAUGGGAUGGCAGGGCAGCACACAGCAUUCCAAGACAAACUGCAGCAGCUGAUUUUCUCAUUCCAGGAUAGUAAAAAGACACUCUGUUUCCUGGGAGCUUAAAAAAAAAUCUUAAAUUUUCCUGGAACACUGAAGGAAUGUCAUGUAUUCUCCAAAGAUCAGCUGAAAGCCCUGACCAGCAGGCUGAGCACAGCAGGGCUGUGGCUGGAUCUACUGUAGUACCAGGGAGGCUCACAGGUAUCAUUUUAUUUCAUCUAUACAUACACCAAUAUUUUGUGAUAGUCUCUUACUGUGAUUAAAACCAGAAAAUGCUUAAGAAUUUCCAUAUUAAAUUAUGCCUAUUUCCUGUUUAAUUCAGAUGACAGCUCUUGUAUUUCAACAUAAAUUGAAUUAAUCUGUCCUUGUUCUUUAAGACUGCUCUGAGGAAAACAAAGAAGAUGUAUCAAGAGAAAUUAAGUCACGUGAACUUCUGAACCUGUAAAUAUGGUCUGGUAUGGUGGGAAUUUACUGAAUAAAAAAACAAGUAUAGAAUAAAGCAUUAGCAUUCACUUCAAAUGCUAAUCAAAUAAAUUAGUAAUAAAGUAAAA